GUUAGUUCCCUUUUUUUCCCUCACACUGCCUGGACUCCUAAAUUCUGCUCCCCAGGACGAUCCUAAACCCGAGUUCUCAGAACACUGUCCUCCAUGCUCAGGGAGUGCAUGUUCACCUAGGAACCAGUGUCCCUGUAUUCUCUUGCUGGCCCCACUUCUCACCACCCUUACCAUGGGCGACAAGCAGGGUGUGGACCUGGCUCUGAGCCUUCCCACCUGUGAGGAAACACUCUGUAACAAGAGAGGAAGCUGCGUCACCGUUGACAACCAGAUGGGAUGUGAGUGCAUGCUGGGAUACCAGGGUCCGAACUGUGCGGACACCGUGAACGAGCAUCUGAGCCUGCCCCUGACGCUGGGGGUGCUGUCCAUCAUCUUUGCCUGCAUCUUCCUCGCCUUCCUCUUGGCUCAUCUAAGCCGAAGACGCAAAGCUUGGCGCAGGGUCGAUGCCCUGAAAGAGAGUAAUGGUGUGUAGAGAGGUACCCUCAACCCUGGACACUUCUAGGAUACACGCCUAACUCACGAGCUCAUCAGUCCAGCACGAAGAAUGGGUUUCAUCAUCUACAAGACAGCUGCUGUUUCUACUUCUAAAGACAACCGGAUUCAUCAAGAACACCUUUUAAUUGCCAAACAACACUAUAGACGUGCAUUUAGAUUGAGGUUCUGAACAGAAAGCAUUGUUGCGCUAUAGAUUGGAUCAAAGGGGAUUUUACUGCGGGUGCAGCGGGUGCAUUUGCACCCCCUUCUGUUGGGAUGAAAACAUAAAUAUUUUAAUGUAAAAAAACUAUGAAAUGUUUUUAGAACAUUAAGUGAUGUCAGAGUUGUAUGUUCUAUCAUGGUUUGUUCUACUCUAAUGAUUAAUUUUAAAUUUUAAGAUCUAGUAUUCAUUUUGAGCAUGUUUUUGUAAGCACAAAUAAGUCAAUCACUGUACGCUUUGCACCCCCAGUUUUAAAACCUAAAAUCGCCUAUGGACUGGAUAUUGGAAGCUGUGCAUUUUGGGAAGUGUACUUCUGGUAGCUGUGUCCCUCAACAGACUUGCUUUCUUUAUACCUCAGUGCCUGCUUUCCAUCCUAGGAAAUGUAGGUUGUCUUUCGGUAAAUAUUUCACUGAUCUCAGUGUUCUGCCUGAAACAAACAGCUCUGUCUCUCUAAACUAUAUCGGGAACGUACAUUCCGCUGCUCCCUGACUGCACCGAAACUCAAUUUGUAAACACACUUAUUGUCUGACAGGUGAAGGACAAGUUCUCAACUGGUCUGACUGCUGUCAUUCCUCUAGUCAGACGUGAUGCCUGUAUGCAAAACAAACCUAUUUAUAAGAUGACUAAUGUUUCAUGAACUGUCCAAGCAAACAAAGGUUCUUAAAAAUUCCUGUUUAAUUUUUGUAAUAAAUUGUGGAAAUAAAGAUGUAUUUUGGACAGAC